GGUACAUCAGCGUGUGGGCGGACACAGCGCGGGCGAAGAUUGACAAGGGAGUGGGCGGAGGCUGUGCAGCAGGACCAGCCCCUCUCCUCAAGAGCCAGUCACAAAGUGAGGCUGGUGCAUGGAGGAGGCAGCCAAGGAAACUUGAGGUGAGCCCGGGUCACCGAGCAUCAUUAGAGUGUGAAGGACUCAGAAGUGAACUGGACAGCAGGAGCACAGCCAAGAUGAGAGCAAAGUCCAGCGGCUGGGAUGCCUGUCCAUGCUUCUUGGGACAGCUUGAGAGCUUCAGAGUGUUUCUCAAGGCCACCUUGCAUGCCAAGGGUCCCAAAGACUUAGGAUGGGGUUCAAACCACCACCAUCCAUCCCCGGGGAGAAGGGGUGGUUUGAAGUCUGUUCUUACUGGACCAGGCAGUCUGAGCUGGGCUGACUAGUUGAACAGGACAUGAGUGUCACCUCUCUUGGAUCUGCAGAAGGUAUGGCCCCCUUUCCUCUCAGUGUGCUUUCCUCUUU
rnacentral:lncRNA from 1 species